rnacentral:rRNA from 1 species
GACGAACGCUGGCGGCGUGCCUAAUACAUGCAAGUCGAACGCAGUGGGGACGGGUGAGUAACACGUGGGUAACCUCCCAUCAGAGGGGAUAACACUUGGAAACCGGUGCUAAACCGAUACUGAUGGAUGGACCCGCGGUGCAUUAGCUAGUUGGUGAGGUAACAGCUCACCAAGGCCACGAUGCAUAGCCGACCUCAUAGGGUGAUCGGCGCCACUGGGACUGAUACUCGGCCCAGCCUCCUACGGGAUGCAGCAUUAGGGAAUCUUCGGCAAUGGACGAAAGUCUGACCGAGCAACGCCGCUUGAGUUAAGAAGGUUUUCGGAUCGUAAAACUCUGUUGUUAGAGCAGCGGUAUCUAACCAGAAAGCCACGGCUAACUACGUGCCAGCAGCCGCGGUAAUUC